rnacentral:lncRNA from 1 species
GGGCGAGGCCUAGAAAUGCAAGCAAAACGCAGGCUGAAACCUGCAUUUAAAAUAGUAGAAAGGCUUAAAGUCUGAUGUCUUCCUGACCACUGGAUAAUAUCAUGAGGGACAAAUGCCCAGGUCCCCACUGAGAUUCAUGAUUAGUGGAAUAUAAUUCUAAGAGAAGAGGUCAGGGAGAUUAAUUUGUGUGGAAUCAUCUCGCUGGGGAGCUCAGUGGCAGAAGUUCCAAGUUGAGAGGUCAUCAGAAGAACUGUUGGCUUCUCCGUCUCCCAGCAGAGGCCCCUCGGUUCUAUAUCUCUUUUAUUUCAGCUCACAUCUCUGCAUUGCCUUCCUCCUGGAAUUCUCUCUCACACAGAUCAGCCAUCCAAGCCUGGAAAAGCACAGGGAGCGGUUUAUUUCAUUUUCUUCGUGGAGCAUCAGUAUGAAGCAGAUCACUCCGAUGCCAACCCUCAGAAGGAAUAAUAUUGGUUGUGGAGAGAAGAAAAUUGUAAAACUUUACAUACAACCCGGGGGCCCUUUCCUGGGGCCCCUUCCCGGCCUGGCCUCGCGUCAUUGAUUUGAGAGCCAGUUCUGGGCGCGGAGCAGCUCAGCACGGUGUGAGGGAAGCAGAAAAAGUCUCCUCUGAGAGUUUGUGGUUGUGUGGAAGUUUCUUUGGUUUGGUUUUGUUUAGUGAAGGAUACCAAAUUACGAAAGAGGAUUGAGAGGAAAAGUACUGUGUUGUUUUAAAAACUGUGCGGGGGCCAGCCCAUGGCCUAGUGGUUAAGUUUGGUGCACUCCUAUUUGGCAGCCAGGGUUUGCUUCCCAGGUGCAGACCUACACCACUCAUUGGCAGCCAUGCAGUGACAGUGGCUCACGUACAAAAUAAAGGAGGAUUGUCACAGGUGUUAGCUCA